AUGAGCAUAUUUUGUAAAAUAUACUCUGCUUUUAUAUAUAAAGAAUUGUGCGAGAGAAUUUCAACUGGGUGCAUCAAACUUUUGGGAAGGGUAGGUGAAUGUCAACCCCCUAAAGUUAUUAUGCCAUUAACUGUAGAACCAAGUAAACCACGGUUAUGCCAUGACGAAAGAUAUCUUAAUUUAUGGGUCAAAGAUUUACCUUUUCAUUUGGAGAAUUUAAAAGAUGUUCAUAGGUUGGUUCAAGAGAAUGCUUUGAUGAUAACAUGUGAUGAAAAGUCGGGCUAUGACCAUGUCAAUUUGCAAGAAUCAUCUCAGACAUAUUUUGGUAUUCAAUUCGGUGGUUUUUAUAUGACAUAUACUACUCUACCGUUUGGAUGGAAAGCAUCGCCGUUUAUCUACCAAUCGAUAGGAAUUUGUGUGACCUCUUAUUUAAGACAGCUAGACGUCAUAAAUACAUUGUAUAUCGACGAUAGGUUUGUUGUUACAGGUGGAAGUAAGAAUAGCGAUGAUGCUAUGCUUGAAGCAAGUAAAAUAACCUAUAUGGUGUUGCAGUUGCUGACAAGGCUAGGUUAUACACUGUCUCUUAGUAAAUGUUCACUAAUACCUGGCACAUGUAAGAAAUUUCUUGGUUUUUUAGUUGACUCUGUUAAACAGGCGUACAUACUUCCUGAUGAUAAGAAGUUGAAAUUUAUUGAUUUGAGGAAAUCUAUACUUUUAAUGGAUGAGGUUGACUUGAGGACACUGCAAAGAUUUUGUGGUAAAUGUAUUUCGUUGACAUUGGCUGUUCCAGGGUGCAAGUUGUUUUGUAGGGAAGUGAAUGCUGCAAUAUCUACUUGCGUUAAAAACAGUAGAAAGGUUAAGGUAUUGGGACCGUUGAGGGAUGAACUAAUGCAUUGGCGUUUUCUUGAUACUUGGACUGGAUAUUCCAAAUGGAGGUCUGAAUUUCACAAGGUGAUUGAGUUGUCGACUGAUUCCUCUGGUUUCAGGUAUGGCGCUUCAGUGAAGCUUGAGGCGAGUACAAUGACAUUGGGGGACUAUUGGGAUACAAAUGACUGUAGACCAAUUCAUGAGAAAGAGGCUGAUGCUGUCCUGAAGUCGUUACAGUCUUUAGACAGUUCUUUGCAAGAUUCUAGGGUUGAUUUGUUUACAGACAACAUGGCUGUUAUAGCGGCAUGGGAAAACCAAGGUUGCAAGUCUAGAGCUUUAAGUUGCAUCAUGAAAGAAAUAUUUAGCCAUGUGUCAACUUAUAACAUUGAUUUACAUUUGAAAUAUGUCCCUUCCUGUUUAAACGAAGCGGAUGCCCCAUCAAGAUUAACUAAUACCGCGGAUUCAAUGUUAAGUGAGGAGUCGUGGUUACUGGUAGAGUCUUUGUAUGGUCCCCAUUCAGUUGACCUAAUGUCUUUGGAUUCUAAUGUCAUGAAGUCAUCUACAGGUGUUCCACUGAAACAUUUUACUCCAUGGCCUACCCCAUGUUCCGCAGGAGUUAAUUUGUUCUCACAGAACCUGAGGAGUGAGCAAAAUCCGUAUGUUUACCCACCUUUCGUACUUGUAUUUCCAGUAUUGAGUCUGUUGCGAGAGCAGGGCAUUUCUUGUACAAUUAUUGUCCCCGAAAUGCGACCUUUACCGAUAUGGUGGCCAAUUUUGAAAUACUACUCCGUGGAAUCGGUAUGUCUUGGUAUGAAGGGUGACAAAGGUGUAGUCAAGACGCCCUCAAAACGUGGCUUUAUUCUAGAUAAAGUGGGAUUAAGGUGGUCAUUGUUUGCAUUUAGGGUCUUAUUUUCACGAAGCUAGAGUAUCUACUGUUUUAUAUAUAGUAAAUAUUCCAAUGGUUUGUUGCAGGGUGCUGACAUUAUUAUAGACUGGCAAGCAAUAAAUGAUCGGACAGCAGAUUUGGAUGAACGGAUGACUUCUUCUUCCGACUAUAAAAGAAAGAACAGUUUGUUUGAAACUUUUCUUUGUUUUCUUGAAAAAUCACCGAAAAAGCCUUCGCUAGCUACAUGUGGACCAAAUGAUGUAAGAAAUUUUUUGGUUUGGAAGGAUAAGUUUGGAAAAACUACUGUCCAUGAUAUAAACUGUCAAUAUUUGGGAUUAAAGGGUAUGUUUCAGUGUUCUUGUCCUAACCGAUUAGCUUCGGCAACAGUAGAAGGUAUCAUUAACCAAUUGGUAAAUUUAUUUGAUGAUAAAGGGUUGGGUAGAACUUGGUGCGAUGUGGAAAGGAAAGGAAAUCCGGCAGUUUCACCUGUAAUCAAAGAGUAUUUAAAAUUGGUGCAAGUCGAACAAGCUAAGGCGCAUAUUCUACCCAAACAGGCGAAGCCUAUAUUUUUGACAAAGAUUAGAUCUAUUAGUGCUUUUAUUUCUCGGGAACUUCAAAAAGACGGUUCUAAGCUUAAGGAAAAAUUUGUCCUUUACAGAGAUCAAGCUUGGUUUAAGUUGCAGUAUUUUGCUGGCGAUAGAGCAAGUGAUCUCUCUAUAGUUGUUGCACAAGAGGUGAAGUUUCUUAAAGACGGUUCAGGGUUUGUUUUCCAGCAUACGUUUGGUAAAACUCUCCGGGGUAAAAAGGGUAGGAGUAACUCGUUCGUCAUCAAGAGAUGCGAUGACAAUGUAGUUUGCCCGGUAAAAGGAUUGUUGGAUUUUGUUCAAUUUGCCCACUCGUGUAAUGUGGAUUUGACAAAAGGCUACUUGUUUAGGGUAGUUUCAGAAAGUGGUAGGGUGUUGGAGAAACCAGUUAGUUAUUCUGUGGUAUAUGAGAGAUUACGAUACUAUCUGUCGACUCUGGGUAUAUAUGAAGGGGAAACGCCUCAUAGUUUCCGGUCUGGUUGUACUGUUACUAUGGCUUUGUCUGACUCAGCUAGCAAUGUUGACGAAGUGAUGAAUCACGUUGGGUGGUUCGGUAAAGCAAGUGCGGAAUAUUAUGGUCGUGUAAAUACACUGAUUGAUUCUGAAAUUGUGGCUUCGAAUCUUGCGGCGUCUGUUAGCCAAGCCGAAAAUAUUGAACUACAAUAUAGAGAGAAGGCAGAUUUUUCCGGGCUAAAAAGGGUUUUUUAA
rnacentral:sRNA from 1 species